UCCCUGGUAGCUCAGCGGUAGAGCGGUCGGCUGUUAACCGAUUGGUCUACGGUUCGAAUCCCAUCCGGGGAG
rnacentral:tRNA from 1 species